GACCAGGACAGCCUGAACCAAGAGCUGGCUCGCAGGAUCCGCCUCAUAUCCCACAGCUGGGUCACUUCCGCAGCCACUACCACCCAUACCACCAGGACGGGGACGAUCAUGUCCGCCAAGCAGAGACUCGACGAUGACUCUUUGUCCUCCUGGAAGCCAGAGGUUGGGUCGGCGGUGCGGCUGCUGUUUGACCAGCGCUGCAGCGUGGAGAGGCUGGCAUCCUGGUUCAUGCAGACCACUGAGACUCAGUCUCUGGGCAUUGUGAAGAAGACCAGCUCCCGAAACCCCUAUGAGCUCCUUCACUACCCCCGGACCGCCAGCAGGGGGAGCGCCUUUCCCAGCCCGCAGACCAUGCGACUACGCAAACACAUCAAGAAGUUUGCCAAAGCUGUGCCGAAGAGCCCCGCCCAGCUCCGUCUAGCCCAGGAACGGCUCCGACGUGGAAAAGAGCUGAAUGCCAGGCGGCGUCUGUUCACUGCGAGGCCGGCGUCAGGCGGGCUGCGUCUCAGAGCUCCAUGGAGGAAGGUCAGGGCCCUCGGGACGUACAGAACCACUCUGCUCAGAGUCAGAGAAAAGUUCCUUACCUGGACCCUCAGAGCCAAGCAGCCCAACAGGCUGAGGUACAACCAGGCGAUCUGGAGGAGAAGCCUGGUGGAGGUAGGAAAUUCACCUGACCAGGUCUGCCCUUCUGCUCAGCCCAGGGAGGAGCUCACCUCUUCUCCACAUCACCACUGUCUACCUGCCUCCUCAGAGACCAGUCAGCCCUGCAGCCCCGACCAGCUGACAGGCCUCACCAAACAGCAGCGUCUCAGCUCUAAAGCCUGGAGUCCAGAGACUCUGAAGGAGUGUUGCGUGUUCCUCAAGAAGAUCAACUCCCCCGACACAGAGUCCACCGUUGAGGAGGAGUGGGACGUCUGCACCGUCAAUCUAGACGACACAUACUGCCCCGACGAGACCAGACAGGAGGAGAGGAGGGAAGAGUACGACAAAGCUGUGAAAACUGAGAGAAGGAAGAGGAGAGUUCCCUGGAAGGAGUCUAGCAGCUCGCCGCAGGAGGUGAUGGUUCAGGAGCACAACCGGGUCCGAGCCGGGAACAGGUGCGGCAAACAGAAAAAUUCAGGGAAAGCCACGAGCCAAUCACCGACCCCGCCGCCAACGAAAGCAACGAGCCAAUCACCGACCCCGCCUCCAACGAAAGCCAUGAGCCAAUCACCGACCCCGCCGCCAACGAAAGCCACGAGCCAAUCACCGACCCCGCCGCCAACGAAAGCCACGAGCCAAUCACCGACCCCGCCAACGAAAGCCACGAGCCAAUCACCGACCCCGCCUCCAACGAAAGCCACGAGCCAAUCACCGACCCCGCCGCCAACGAAAGUCAUGAGAAAAUCGCGUGGGAGGGGCCUGACCGGGCCGCGGUGGCGUGACUUUAUACUGGGAACCUGA
rnacentral:lncRNA from 1 species